GUGGCUAGCGUUGUUACUUUAUUUUGCUUGUACAAGUUUAUAUGCAUUUAUGUUUUGUGUUUGCUAUAUUUUUAUUGGUUCUAAGGUGGGGGUCAAUUGAAAAUAAUCUCUCUACUUCACCUGAGGUAGUGGUAUGGUCUGCGUACACUCUACCCUCCCCACACCUCACUAGGUGAUAAUACACUAGGUAUGUUGUUGUUGUGGUGGUGGU
rnacentral:lncRNA from 1 species